rnacentral:lncRNA from 1 species
UAGUCGAUAGAUCAUUAUGACAUUAUUCAUCAUACCCUCAGGUUUAGACCAUAACAUAUGAUCUCGAGGUAGAUCAACUCUGUAAUCAUAUACAUCAAAUACAAUCAAAAGCAGCAUGUAGGGUAUUAUCUCUUCGAGAGAGCCCGAAGCUGGGUAAAUCCCGUGUCCAUGUUACCAUUGAUCCUAAGAUACACAGCUUAGGACCCCUUACCCGAGAUCUGCCGGUUUUGACACCGACAGUGGUGCUUUCAUUGAGAGUUCCGCUGUGUGUUCGACAAAGGAUCAAUGGCUCGCCUGUAGAUCAACUGCGACAUCAACAUCUUCGUCACCAGCUCGACUGGUCACCUUGGUUCGACCAAGAACUGCGCCCCGUCUUCGGAUCACCAUCUUCGGACGAGGGCCUUCAUCAACAUCAACUCCGAUCUCUAUCAAGAUCAUGGAGGAAUCAUCCAUGGAGCUCGGGGGCUCAACGUCAACAUUACCCUCGAGCAACCAUGCUGUUUUUUCUGGACAGCGAACUCGUAUCUGCCGCCACCGCCUCCUCGAGCAUCACUUUGACGAUUGCUUCAGUGGGAUUGUGCGGAAUUGAGUCUACAACAACCAUGGAAAAUUUUAUCGAGUUCCGAUGGAGGAAUCUCUGGCAAUCUACGAUAUACUGGAGCCUUGUCAAAUCUAGAUGGGAAUCUGGACGAGUUUAGGGCGUGGUCUCCAGAGCCCAGCUCGGAGGUCCUUUGGAAGAUCCAACCGUUCAUCUGCUGCGGAAUUCCCAUGUCUAGCACCCCUCCAAAUUUCAGCUUGAUCCGACGGUUCAAACUCCGGGAACCUUCCGAUGAGUGGACUAAUUUUCGGAUCUGUUUUCUGCGUGAAUACAAAUCCGGCCCGAGUUCAUGUUUCUUCAUGAACGGGAUAUCAAACAACCCUUUUAGAGGAAUUUUUUCCUAGGGUAUUGUGCGUUGUUUUUAAACACGUACCUAUAAAAAAAUUUAGCCUCCUCCGAGGUAAUCUACACCAUCACGCUGGUGUCAAAGCAGUCCGGCAAUAUUGCUCCAUGGCUGCCGACCUGCGCUAGACACGUCGCCGCUUUGUUGAGCCAAGCUCAACUCAUUCGAUCAUCAUCCCGGCAAGCCGAAUACGAGUUCGACAUCACGAAGGAUAAAUCAUCAGCAACAUCGCUACCCCACGAAUUACACGGAGCGGGCACACCGGCAUCGCCACGCGGUAGCUUCAUCAAGCUAGCGUCGACCGCGUCACAAGUUUUGACCUGCGUCGGCAUCACCAUGCCGCCUCUUAUUCAAAUCAUCAUCAAACACGCCGACCUGCUUCGACACUUAGGCUGACAUGUAGACUCCGGCAUCUCUUUGCCGAGCUGCUCCGACACGUCGGCUAGACCGGGGGCUUCAUCAUCUCUUCAUCAACCUACUCCGGUGACUUCGGCGUCACUAGCCAACCAGCUUCGUCACGAUUGGCUGGACCGAGGCUUUGUCUCGGCAAGCCAACCUUUGCCAGCAUCGCCAUGCCGGCGCUUUAUCACCCAUCAGGCAAUGGGUGCUCUGACCGAGUCCCAAUUUUGGGAGUCACCUUUCUUCGGAUUGUUACAACAAAUAAACCAGGUGCUAUUUAUCCUAGUAAUUUUUGCUUGUUUGGGUUUAUUUUUCCCAAAGAAUUAUUACUCUGGUUUGUUCCAUCAUCUGUACAUAGGUCUACCAAAUGGUGGCCGCAUUAACGACAGUCACAUGGUGGUUCGGUCGGUUUCCGUACAUAGUCCGGCGAAUGCCGCAUCCGGAACUCAGACCGCCCUGUGAAUACAGGCUUUGUCACGCCAGUGCCCAGCAUGGACAUUGACUUCGGCGCCAGGCCACAUAUCUUUAAAUGAAUUAUCUUGCGUAAAUUAAUUAUGCAAGGAUUUUUUAUAUAUUUAUAUUAUUGUUGUUCGCCUGCACUAUUUUACAUGUGCAGGUAAUGGACUUCGACUACGUCACGUGGUCUCUUCGGCAAGCCGACGCCGUCGUCCCAAUCGGCGUAAAUCGGCUCGCGUGAUCACCUUGUUGGUCGUGUUGCCGUACCGACGUGUUCGGUUGCCUCGGGGACUUCGACACCGUUGAGAGAGCUCUACCUCAUCGAGUGUUCGGCACACGGGCCUUAUUUCUUUUAUUACUCACUUUGCAUAAAUUAUUUAUUAUGCAACAUUUUUGUAAUUUAUUAUUAUUACUAUUAUCUCCGGUUUGCACUAUUUUUCGUGCACAGGUAAAUGAUUCGGGUUGGGCAGCGUUGUCUCCUGGGCUAGACGGGGGGCUUCGUCAACAUUUUAUUAACCCACACCAUGGGCUUCGGCGUCACUCUGCCAGCCUGCAUUGGCUGUGCUAUGCCGCCACUUUGGAUUGCCGAGCUCUUCGCUCCGCCACCUUGGGACCGGCUUGGGGGAUGGACCUUUGUCCCGCAUCAAGCUUGGACCGCAUCAUCAAUACCGAACACAUUAAUCAGCUAAGUCGCUUUCAUGCUCAAAAACUUUCGGUUUUAAAUUUUGUUCGGUUCGACCAAGCGUUAUACUUCCGUGUCAAAACUUUGUUUGUGACGCACAAAUUUGAAUAUUCCGUUCAUUUGGGGGCCUCCUUUAUGAAGCCUUUCCUUUUGCAUAUGAUUAUACUUGUACGGCUUCGUUCCUUGUUCGUGUAUUACGCCCCAAUAUGCACCAUAUUGACUUAAGUGUUCCGCAAGCUGGGUUGCCUUGCUCUCGUGCUUACCCCUACGUUCCCGAUUGUUCGGCUAGGGAGUAAAGGGAGCACUUCUGCGAUUGUCACGACCGGGUCAUCCGAGCUCUGACCUCAGACUGGGUGAAGCCGAAAGCUAGCGCUCUUAUUGUUUUCAAUCAUGGUCGGCACACAACGGAACUCAUGAGUACAAAAAAUCUAUUGCACAAGUCUCAUAGUAACAAUGAGCACCGAAGAAAGGUAUCGGUGGAGGUACUAUUUUCUUCAAAGAUGCUUCUUACACUUCAUCAGUAAUAUAGCAUAAGUUCCCUGAGCGCGCUUUGUCUGUUAUAGCCUUAUGGCCUAAUUGCCUGGUUAUCGGAAACGCUGUCGAUAUUCUCGAUAGGUGGAGUACAUAACACUCUUCGGCCCUUGACCGAAGAGGCAGAAGCCGAUGGUCGGUUAAGACGCGUUUAAAGUUUGGGUGAACACAUAUAUGAUAUAAGUAAUUCGGUACAUACAAUCAUUAUACAUAAAAUAAAUAUAUAUCACCAGUAUUUGUAUUAAGUAUACAAGCGCUGCCUUCUGUAAUUAUUGUUAUAAAGCCAUAAAUUUGCAUCAAUUUGACUUAAGAUUUUGGCCAAGCUGGGUUGCCUGGCUCCUGUGCUUGCCCCUACGUUCCCGAUUGUUCGGCUAGGUGGUAAAGGGAGCACCUCUGUGAUUGUUACUACCGGGUCAUCCAAGUAAGUACCUCAGACUGGGUGAAGCCGAGAGCUAGCAAUCUUAAAGGAUCACAUUGGUCGGCAACAACAGAACUGAAAAUUUUGGUUUAUUAAUACCACAGAGUUCAGGAACUUUCCCUGAACUAAAUCCUCAAUAUUUUUCUCUCGCAUUGAUCGGAGGUGAGGUUUCAUGAUCAUGAUCGGCAUGACAACCCAAAGAAAGGAACCAAUAGCGGGACUAUUUUCUUUGGAAGAUGUUUCUUACGUUCAAAAGUAAUAUAACAUAUCUCUCUGCGUACCUUUGUUUAUAAAACCGUAUGGCCGGAUUGCCUUGUUUUCCAUAAAUCUUUGCCCUUAUCACGGCUAUAUAAAGUAGGAAAACAAGAGGUUGAAGCCGAUGGUCGGUCAACAAAGUUUUGUACAAUGCGGAUCCGAGCAUCAAUGAUGUAAAGUACUUGGGUACAUAAAAUCAUUACACAUAAAUUGUGAGCAGAAAUCAAUUUUUUCUCGGCCAAUCUUUUAAAGAGUCAAUGGCACAGUCUCUUUGAGACACCUGAGUGAUACAUCUCCGUCGUAUCUACUUUUCCAAACACUUUUGCCCUUGUUUUGGACUCUAACUUGCAUGAUUUGAAUGGAACUAACCCGGACUGACGCUGUUUUUAGCAGAAUUGCCAUGGUGUUAUUUAUGUGCAGAAACAAACGUUCUCGAAAUGACCUGAAACUUCACGGAACUUAUUUUUGGAAAAUAUCAAAAAUACUGGAAGAAGAAUCCACGUCAGGGGACCCACACCCUGGGCACGAGGGUGGGGGCGCGCCCUACCCCCAGGCGCGCCUCCCUGCCUCGUGGGCCCCUUGACGCUCCACCGACCUCAACUCCAACUCCAUAUAUUCGUGUUCGGGGAGAAAAAAAUCAGAGAGAAGGAUUCAUCACGUUUUACGAUACGGAGCCGCCGCCAAGCCCUAAACUCUCUCAGGAGGGCUGAUCUGGAGUUCGUUCGGGGCUCCGGAGAGGGGAAUCCGUCGCCAUCGUCAUCAUCAACCAUCCUCCAUCACCAAUUUCAUGAUGCUCACCGCCGUGCAUGAGUAAUUUCAUCGUAGGCUUGCUGGACGGUGAUGAGUUGGAUGAGAUCUAUCAUGUAAUCGAGUUAGUUUUUUUAGGGUUUGAUCCCUAGUAUCCACUAUGUUUUGAGAUUGAUGUUACUAUGACUUUGCUAUGCUUAAUGCUUGUCACUAGGGCCCGAGUGCCAUGAUUUCAGAUCUGAACCUAUUAUGUUUUCAUGAAUAUAUGUGAGUUCUUGAUCCUAUCUUGCAAGUCUAUAGUCACCUACUAUGUGUUAUGAUCCGGCAACCCCGAAGUGACAAUAAUCGGGAUCACUCCCGGUGAUGACCGUAGUUUGAGGAGUUCAUGUAUUCACUAUGUGUUAAUGCUUUGUUCCGGUACUCUAUUAAAAGGAGGCCUUAAUAUCCCUUAGUUUCCAUUAGGACCCCGCUGCCACGGGAGGGUAGGACAAAAGAUGUCAUGCAAGUUCUUUUCCAUAAGCACGUAUGACUAUAUUCGGAAUACAUGCCUACAUUACAUUGAUGAAUUGGAGCUAGUUCUUUGUCACCCUAUGUUAUGAUUGUUACAUGAUGAACCACAUCCGACAUAAUUAUCCAUCACUGAUCCAUUGCCUACGAGCUUUUCACAUAUUGUUCUUCGCUUAUUUACUUUUCCGUUGCUACUGUUACAAUUACUACAAAACCCAAAAAUAUUACUUUUGCUACCGUUACCAUUACUAUCAUACUAAUUUGCUACUAAAUACUUUGCUGCAGAUAUUAAGUUAUCCAGGUGUGGCUGAAUUGAUAACUCAGUUGCUAAUACUUGAGAAUAUUCUUUGGCUCCCUUUGUGCCGAAUCGAUAAAUUUGGGUUGAAUACUCUACCCUCGAAAACUGUUGCGGUCCCCUAUACUUGUGGGUUAUCACCGAGCGGCUGAAUUAACGCUCUCAUAGUUCCUUGUUGGCAUUAAUUUCCUAUCUAUUGAGCCCCUUGAGGCCUACCUUGGCGAGCUCAGCUUUCGUCAGCUCUAACUCCUUUAUGAGAUCUUUAUUCUCUUUCUAAGAAGUUUGUGUUAAACACAAACAAAUUUUUUCUAUCAAAUGGAUAUCGAUCCUUAAUCUGGCCACCCGUGCCUACAUUAAGGCUCGAGGGCUACCGGGCUUCUUUCUCAUUAUUUAUAAAUAUUAAAAGGGGCACAUCGAUCCCCUGAUUUGGUGUUGCCACUCGACCAGUGUCUCGAGGGCUACUGCAUCGCCUAUUCAAUGCAGAAAUUUCAAAGUGCCAAGUGUUCGGCUUGACCGAACUAUGGGCAAACAUGUCUUCGGAUAACAAUAGGUACCAUCUGGACCUAUCCGGCGUCGAACUAAUAUAUUACAACAACUACUCGAGACCCUCUCUCAAGGGCCCGUUCGCCGAUCACUAUUAUCUUUAAUAUAUUACGCUGCGUUUCUAUUCCUACGUAUGCUGCCGAGCUAGGAGUUGAUCCUCAGGCCGAUUUCACGCAUCGACCUGAGUCUCAGGGGCUACUAGGAUCAGCGUUUUCAUGUUUUCCUUCAGGUACAUCUCGGGUUUUAGACCGACACACACCUUGAGGGCUACUGGCUAUAUAUCUCGUCAGUAAAUAAAUUGCAUGAAUCAGAAAUAAAAUCCGCAAACAAUCAGCCCGAUCCCGAGGUGGUGCAUCACCUCGGAGGUAGUCCGGCAUAAAGUUUGGUUGCAAGUGGCUGGCUCCUUAGAGGGCAUUUCCGGCAUUAAGCUCGGCUAAACUCUUUCAACUUCUUUGAACCAAGGUGAUCUAUGACACCUCAGAUACAGUCCGACAUUGGAGCUUGGACAUAGUCCGGCGUUAGAGCUCGGAUAUAGUCCGGCGUUGGAGCUCGGAUACAUUCCGGCGUUGGAGCUCGGAAGCAGCCCGACGUUGGUGCUCGGCUGUAAAAGAUACCUCAAAUGUAGUCCGACGUUGGAGCUCGGAUACGAGAGGACAUCGCCGCACGGAAACACUUCAAACCCAAGGUGUGGCAUAAAAAUAACAAGGCAUUGAUAAAGGCCGAAAACUUAAAGGGGCUCCUCGGAUACCUGACGUGUAAACUCUUCGGAUUUACUUCGGCAAUCCUCAAGAUCGAAGAUGGGAAAGAUUUGUUGAACCAGUUUUCAAGACCGACGACCAAAGAUGAAGAACAGUUCGGAAGAAUCGAGGAGCGCCCUAACUUGAAGACUGGUUCAGGGGGCUACUGACGGUGUCCUGGACUAGGGGGUACUCACCACGCCGUCUCCCGAUCAGUUGGAUUGGGCCAUGGUCCCCCAUGGCCGUACACUCAUGGGCCAGUUCGGACAGCCGAUGCAUACACAAGGAAGAUUCCACAAGACUUGGUGAUCAAGGCAAGGACUCCUCCCCAUCGGCGUAUUCGACUAGGACUUUUGUUAUCCUAGGCCUCUGGUAUGUUAUAUAAGCCGAGGUCAGGCUAGUCGAUAGAUCAUUAUGACAUUAUUCAUCAUACCCUCAGGUUUAGACCACAACAUAUGAUCUCGGGGUAGAUCAACUCUGUAAUCAUAUACAUCAAGUACAAUCAAAAGCAGCAUUUAGGGUAUUAUCUCUUCGAGAGAGCCCGAAGCUGGGUAAAUCCCGUGUCCAUGUUACCAUUGAUCCUAAGACGCACAACUUGGGACCCCUUACCCGAGAUCUGCCGGUUUUGACACCGACAGGUACCUCUGCUGGAUGGUUGGUAGAAUCAUUUUCUGUUUGUUGAACAUAUGGCUGUUGAGUAGAUUGCUGCUGGUAGAUUGGCA